UUUUGAAAAAUAACAAAGGGCAAUUACUCAAAAAUCAUGCAAGGUAGAGUUAUCAUUCUUGUGCACUGCACUCCUCCUCAAUGAGGUCUAUCCACCUAUGAAGUUUCAAGUUGAUAACUCAAAUACUUUUAGAGAUAUGCUCCGGACAAAAAUGUCGGACGGACGGAGACUAUUUCUAUAUCCUCCGCCGAAAUUUUUCGGCGGGGGAUAAUUAAAAGCAAAUAAUAACAAAAAGCGUCACAAAUUAAAAUUUGCAUUCAAAAAUCCUACUAAAGAUAGCAAUAAUAAUAUUUUGCUGUAGAACAUUUUAAUUUGUUAACAAAAUAAUGCAAUAUUCAUGUUUCUUAAAUAGCAAAGAUAUUCUGUUUCAACUGUUUCAAGAAUCAACCACAACAAUAUGGAAACAACCUAACUGUUUAUAGAUUUUAUUUAAAUAAUUCAUUAGAGAUUUAGCUUCAUAGCCUUUAUCAUUUUCUUGUGGAUUUUGUCCAUUAAUGGUUAUAAUUCUGCUCCUUUUUUAUAGUCUGCUAGGAAAUGAUACAUGAGAUUUGUUUUCAGUGGUAAAACAACAACAACAACAACAACAACAAUGGUGUAAAAUUAAUGCUUAUUUUUAUAAUCUUUUAUUAAAAGGGCCUGUUUAAUUGUAUAGUUUAUUGUUAUGGAUAAACUCGUAUUUGUAAGUCCUUAUGUAUGAUGCCUGUAUAUUCUCUGAAUGUUGUCAAAAAAUGGGGACUAUACUCUACAUUUUCUUAUUUCGAAAGUCAAACACACUGGAGAAAGAAUAUUGUAGGAAGAAUUGUUUAAGGAAACGUAAUGUCUUGUAAAAAAUAAGAAUUCUAUAUUUAACAAAAGGUUAUUUAUUCUUAAAUUAUUCUUCAUGUUGAUGAUGUUAUAAAAUAUGUUUAGACUCAGUAUGUUUCACAUUUUUCCAUCAUUAUUCAUAAUUAAGUUAUGACUAUUAAAGCUAAAUUUAAUAAUUUGACCUUGAUCAAAGUCUGGUUCAAAGGUCAAGGACACAUUUAAGUUAAUCGUAAUGUCAGUUGUGUCAUUAGUACUCUUUUGUCUUAAAAUGAAGUAAACCUAUUAAAUCUAUUAACUAAAGCAAAAUGCAAUGAUUACAGGUAGAGGUCAUUUAUUCGUUAAAGUAUGAAUCAAGUCUGUAAAUUAAGUUAUGGCAAUUUCUGAUGAAUUUCAUACAUGGACCUCGAUAAUCAAUUUCAUUUGAAGGACAAGGAUAUAUUUACAGAAUUCAACAUUUUGGUUUUAUCAUAUUCUUAUUUUUAUAACUUUUGAUUUUGAUUUUGGAUCUAUUAUUUGGUCCGAAUUACUCUCCUAAGGAAGCGUAGGUCCGAAUAUAACAAAUCAGGCAAAAUAGAAUAUUGAAAUUACAAAAACAAAAAAUAACAGCCAGAAUUUUUAAAAUAUAACUGUUAAAACCAAUUCUCCUAAAAUGUGUUAAAACUGAAACGCUUAUUUUUCCACCUAGAUGUAUAUAUUUUUUCGGGAUUAUGGUGUUUAAAGCAAUGAAUUAAUUAAAACCAGCAUAUGUCAGAUCUUAUCCUGUUACUUCAGAAUAAAACGUAUUUACUAAGAUCAUCGCAGAAUUAAAAACUCAAUGCAUAAACGACCUAAAACAAAUCAUUUGAAACAUACUUAUUAUUAUGCUUGUAUGAAGUUCGAGAACAAAUAAGAAAUUUUUCAAGUCUACAAUUGUUAAAAAUAAAAUAUUGCAUUAUAUAUGUUUUCUUUGAUGCUUUGAUGUAUUGUCUUAAUAAGCUAUUCUUGUUAAAUAAAGAGUAUUAUUAU